UACGGAGGGUGCGAGCGUUAUCCGGAUUUAUUGGGUUUAAAGGGUGCGUAGGUGGUUUGAUAAGUCAGCGGUGAAAGUUUGCAGCUUAACUGUAAAAAUGCCGUUGAAACUGUCGGACUUGAGUGUAAAUGAGGUAGGCGGAAUGCGUGGUGUAGCGGUGAAAUGCAUAGAUAUCACGCAGAACUCCGAUUGCGAAGGCAGCUUACUAAGCUACAACUGACACUGAAGCACGAAAGCGUGGGGAUCAAACAGGAUUAGAUACCCU
rnacentral:rRNA from 1 species